UACGAAGGGUGCAAGCGUUACUCGGAAUUACUGGGCGUAAAGCGUGCGCAGGCGGUUCGCUGUGUCCUGUGUGAAAGCCCCGGGCUUAACCUGGGAAUGGCAUGGGAAACUGGCGGGCUGGAGUGUGGCAGAGGGGGUGGAAUUCCGCGUGUAGCAGUGAAAUGCGUAGAGAUGCGGAGGAACACCGAUGGCGAAGGCAGCCCCCUGGGCUAACACUGACGCUCAGGCACGAAAGCGUGGGGAGCAAACAGG
rnacentral:rRNA from 1 species